GAGUUUGAUCCUGGCUCAGAACGAACGCUGGCGGCGUGCCUAACACAUGCAAGUCGAACGUGAUCCAGAGCUUGCUCUGGUGAAAGUGGCGCACGGGUGAGUAACGCGUGGAUAACCUACCCUGGUAUCCGGGAUAACAUUCCGAAAGGGGUGCUAAUACCGGAUAAGCCCACGGGCUCUUUGGAGCUUGCGGGAAAAGGUGGCCUCUAUUUAUAAGCUACUGUAUCAGGAUGGGUCCGCGUACCAUUAGCUAGUUGGCGGUGUAACGGACCACCAAGGCGACGAUGGUUAGCUGGUCUGAGAGGAUGAUCAGCCACACUGGAACUGAGACMCGGUCCAGACUCCUACGGGAGGCAGCAGUGGGGAAUUUUGCGCAAUGGGGGAAACCCUGACGCAGCAACGCCGCGUGAGUGAUGAAGGCCUUUGGGUCGUAAAGCUCUGUCCGAGGGGAAGAAAUGAUAUAGUGCCAAUACCACUUUAUCUUGACGGUACCCUCAAAGGAAGCACCGGCUAACUCCGUGCCAGCAGCCGCGGUAAUAC
rnacentral:rRNA from 1 species